rnacentral:rRNA from 1 species
AACGAACGCUGGCGGCGUGCCUAACACAUGCAAGUCGAACGAGAAUCCGGGCUUCGGUCCGGUAGUAAAGUGGCGCACGGGUGAGUAACACGUGGGUAACGUACAUCGUAGUGGGGGAUAACCAGGUGAAAGCUUGGCUAAUACCGCAUGAGUCCGCUGGGGCGCAGGCCCUGGCGGGGAAAGUGGAGCAAUCCACGCUACGAGAUCGGCUCGCGGCCCAUUAGCUAGUUGGCGGGGUAACGGCUCACCAAGCCGAAGACGGGUAACCGGUCUGAGAGGAUGUCCGGUCACACUGGGACUGAGACACGGCCCAGACUCCUACGGGAGGCAGCAGCAGGGAAUCUUGGGCAAUGGGCGAAAGCCUGACCCAGCGACGCCGCGUGGAGGAAGAAGUCCUUCGGGGCGUAAACUCCUGGACUGGGGACGAGUAAGGACGGUACCCCAGUAGAAAGGGACGGCUAACUAACGUGCCAGCAGCCGCGGUAAGAGUACUCUAU